AGCAGUCGCCACGGUAAAACAGAGGGUGCGAGCGUUAAUCGGAUUUACUGGGCGUAAAGCGUGCGUAGGCGGCUUCUUAAGUCGGAUGUGAAAUCCCUGAGCUUAACUUAGGAAUUGCAUUCGAUACUGGGAAGCUAGAGUAUGGGAGAGGAUGGUAGAAUUCCAGGUGUAGCGGUGAAAUGCGUAGAGAUCUGGAGGAAUACCGAUGGCGAAGGCAGCCAUCUGGCCUAAUACUGACGCUGAGGUACGAAAGCAUGGGGAGCAAACAGGAUUAGAUACCCCGGUAGUCCCUGUCUCUUAUAC
rnacentral:rRNA from 1 species